CCCUGCGCCGACCCCCACCCCCCACCCUGCGCCUCCGCGGGCUCCUCCUCCCCGCACAGUCCCGCCCCCGUGCCGCCCCCGUCCCCCCGGGUGCGCUCCUCGAGUCAGCCCAGCGGUGUCGCCGUUGCCCUUGGAACCGGGCCACCCGCGCAGCCCCACUUUGGGGGUGUCGUUUCCAGCAGAGACGGGACCCCAGGGUGGGGGAGCGUGAGGUCAGAGAGCGCGUGCGGGGAAAACGGACCUGCGGUCCAGGGCGUCCGCCUGGAGUCAGGGGUCAGGGUGUCUGCCUUCACCUUGAGCGAGCAGAGUCGGCGUGGCCGGAGGCUGGAACACGCAGGCUCACCGGGGACAGGUGCACGUAGCGGGGAAGCGGACAGCCUGUGGAAAUCCUCAGUCUGCUUCCGUCGAUCUCGAAACGGAGAUGGCUUGGACCCAGCACACAGAGUCACGUGGAAAGCUCACCAGGACAUUUAUUUGGACGCUUUACAGUCUGAGCGCCAGCGGGAGGGAUGGAACCCAACAGCUGAGUUCCCCGCACGCAGCCCCGGGCCGGACGGAAAAAGCGGAGGCGUCACCACGGCCAUUGCAGGUGCCCGUCCUUCCCGGGCCUGCACGGAGCCCACUGCUCUGGUCUGUCAAGCGGUUGGUCACCCCAAACCUCCACCCCCGCUGGGGGCCACGCUCUUCUUACCAUUUGAUUCAUGUGGCCUGUGCUGCUCGGUCCCCAGCCAAUGUGCUGGACAGGCCACAGGUGCUGUAAAAUCUUUGCACGUGGCACAGGGAGCGGGGUGCCCGCACUCACUCGUGGCGGAACCCCGUGGCUGCCGUGGACAUGAACUAGGAACUGAGUGCCGGGCCAGGGCGGGGGGUGCCGUGGGCGCGGUGUGCCUGCUUCCUGGCCUAGUCUGGGCUGUCAGUCCCCUCUGGAACGCCCCGGGCCCAAGGGCAGAGCCCUGUCACAGCUGUGACGCACUCUGUGCGUAGUGAUGGGAAUAGAUGAGUCGGAACGGCCUCUCUAGAGCGACCAUCACUUUAUUGGAGAUGAAUAAAAAAAGACUUUUUAAAGGAUUUUUUUUUUUU
rnacentral:lncRNA from 1 species